rnacentral:rRNA from 1 species
AACGAACGCUGGCGGCAUGCCUAACACAUGCAAGUCGAACGAGACCUUCGGGUCUAGUGGCGCACGGGUGCGUAACGCGUGGGAACCUGCCCUUAAGUUCGGAAUAACUCCCCGAAAGGGGUGCUAAUACCGGAUAAUGUCUUCGGACCAAAGAUUUAUCGCCUUUGGAUGGGCCCGCGUUGGAUUAGCUAGUUGGUAGGGUAAAAGCCUACCAAGGCGACGAUCCAUAGCUGGUCUGAGAGGAUGAUCAGCCACACUGGGACUGAGACACGGCCAAGACUCCUACGGGAGGCAGCAGUGGGGAAUAUUGGACAAUGGGCGAAAGCCUGAUCCAGCAAUGCCGGGUGAGUGAUGAAGGCCUUAGGGUUGUAAAGUUCUUUUACCCGGGAUGAUAAUGACAGUACCGGGAGAAUAAGCACCGGCUAACUCCGUG